ACUCUGGGACAAGCCCUGGAAACGGGGUCUAAUACCGGAUAUGAGCCUGGGAGGCAUCUCCUGGGUUGUAAAGCUCCGGCGGUGAAGGAUGAGCCCGCGGCCUAUCAGCUUGUUGGUGAGGUAAUGGCUCACCAAGGCGACGACGGGUAGCCGGCCUGAGAGGGCGACCGGCCACACUGGGACUGAGACACGGCCCAGACUCCUACGGGAGGCAGCAGUGGGGAAUAUUGCACAAUGGGCGAAAGCCUGAUGCAGCGACGCCGCGUGAGGGAUGACGGCCUUCGGGUUGUAAACCUCUUUCAGCAGGGAAGAAGCGCAAGUGACGGUACCUGCAGAAGAAGCGCCGGCUAACUACGUGCCAGCAGCCGCGGUAAUACGUAGGGCGCAAGCGUUGUCCGGAAUUAUUGGGCGUAAAGAGCUCGUAGGCGGCUUGUCACGUCGAUUGUGAAAGCCCGAGGCUUAACUUCGGGUCUGCAGUCGAUACGGGCUAGCUAGAGUGUGGUAGGGGAGAUCGGAAUUCCUGGUGUAGCGGUGAAAUGCGCAGAUAUCAGGAGGAACACCGGUGGCGA
rnacentral:rRNA from 1 species